rnacentral:rRNA from 1 species
GAUGAACGCUGGCGGCGUGCCUAAUACAUGCAAGUCGAGCGAAUGGAUUAAGAGCUUGCUCUUAUGAAGUUAGCGGCGGACGGGUGAGUAACACGUGGGUAACCUGCCCGUAAGACUGGGAUAACUCCGGGAAACCGGGGCUAAUACCGGAUAACAUUUUGAACCGCAUGGUUCGAAAUUGAAAGGCGGCUUCGGCUGUCACUUAUGGAUGGACCCGCGUCGCAUUAGCUAGUUGGUGAGGUAACGGCUCACCAAGGCAACGAUGCGUAGCCGACCUGGGAGGGUGAGCGGCCACACUGGGACUGAGACACGGCCCAGACUCCUACGGGAGGCAGCAGUAGGGAAUCUUCCGCAAUGGACGAAAGUCUGACGGAGCAACGCCGCGUGAGUGAUGAAGGCUUUCGGGUCGUAAAACUCUGUUGUUAGUGAAGAACAAGUGCUAGUUGAAUAAGCUGGCACCUUGACGGUACCUAACCAGAAAGCCACGGCUAACUACGUGCCAGCCGCCGCUGUAA